CCUACGGGAGGCAGCAGUGGGGAAUAUUGCGCAAUGGGCGAAAGCCUGACGCAGCGACGCCGCGUGUGGGAGGAAGCCUUUCGGGGUGUAAACCACUGUCAGGGGGGAAGAACUCCGCAGAGUCGAAUACACUCGGCGGUUGACGGUACCCCCAGAGGAAGCGCCGGCUAACUCCGUGCCAGCAGCCGCGGU
rnacentral:rRNA from 1 species